CUGAGAGGAUGACCAGUCACACUGGAACUGAGUCACGGUCCAGACUCCUACGGGAGGCAGCAGUGGGGAACAUUGGACAAUGGGCGAAAGCCUGAUCCAGCCUUGCCGCGUGUGUGAAGAAGGUCUUCAGAUUGUAAAGCACUUUAAGUUGGGAGGAAGGGCAGUAAGUUAAUACCUUGCUGUUUUGACGUUACCAACAGAAUAAGCACCGGCUAACUUCGUGCCAGCAGCCGCGGUAAUACGAAGGGUUCAAGCGUUAAUCGGAAUUACUGGGCGUAAAGCGCGCGUCGGUGGUUCGUUAAGUUGGAUGUGAAAGCCCCGGGAUCAACCUGGGAACUGCAUCCAAAACUGGCGAGCUAGAGUAUGGCGGAG
rnacentral:rRNA from 1 species